CCUACGGGUGGCAGCAGUGAGGAAUAUUGGUCAAUGGGCGCUAGCCUGAACCAGCCAAGUAGCGUGAAGGAUGACUGCCCUAUGGGUUGUAAACUUCUUUUAUAAGGGAAUAAAGUGCAGCAUGUAUACCGUUUUGCAUGUACUUUAUGAAUAAGGAUCGGCUAACUCCGUGCCAGCAGCCGCGGUAAUACGGAGGAUCCGAGCGUUAUCCGGAUUUAUUGGGUUUAAAGGGAGCGUAGACGGGUUGUUAAGUCAGUUGUGAAAGUUUGCGGAUCAACCGUAAAAUUGCAAUUGAUACUGGCAGCCUUGAGUACAGUAGAGGUAGGCGGAAUUCGUGGUGUAGCGGUGAAAUGUUUAGAUAUCACGAAGAACUCCGAUUGCGAAGGCAGCCUACUAAACUGUAACUGACACUGAUGCUCGAAAGUGUGGGUAUCAAACAGGAUUAGAUACCCGUGUAGUC
rnacentral:rRNA from 1 species